rnacentral:lncRNA from 1 species
AUGCUUCUGGAUGAUUGCUUUCUUGCAGCACAAGAGCAUCUGACAACCAUGCAGAUCAUCCUUGGGAACACUGUAGGAGUGUCAGCUCUUACUGGUGAGAUCCCAGGAGAUAUCAAAGUGACUCGUGGUAGCAUUGAAGCUGACCCUGCAAUGAAAACUGUCCCUGCCCUGAGCAUGAUCAAGCCUACAGUGAGAGCAGAGGUACUGGAGAAAGGGACAUCUUUAGGAGGGUUAAAUGCCAAGAAAGUUUCUUUCACAAGAAAAAUUGGUUUGCUAUUUUCUAGAGAAAGCAUGGUGUAAAUUAAGUCUCUGAAGGAAAAUUAUCACUGGAGUUCCUUAAAGAGGAAUGUUGUUCCUCUAAUGGAAGAACCCUCUGUCCUUAAAGAAUCCAUAUUACAAGCUUAAUGGGACAUGGAGAACAGAGUGCUGAUCUCCCACUGGGUUCACUAUUGGUUUUUGUCUUUGCAUUUCAUCUGAACCCUCUACUGGAUUACACCUGGCACUGGCCUUCUACCUGGUGCACAGCAGGAACCAGCAGCUGCACCUACUGGGGCAUUCACUUCUGAAAGACCCAGGAUUGUUAAAAUACUUAGUACAUUACUAUUAAUCACUGCAAAAUGAAGUGUAUCCAUAAAACUCCCUUCUUCCAUCUUGUAUGCAUCAGCAUUACAUAUAUCUAUAUUUACUGACUGUGCAGUGAUUUUUACUGUUUUUAACCCCUACAGAUACAACACAUCCAUAGCUGAAUGAAGCAUUCAUCCUCAUUUUGCUGAUUACAGGUGAAAAAAUCUUCAUAGUUUAGAUUAUCCAGAACUCUUCCUACCACUGAUUCACACAAAACUUUCUCUUGUUAUGUACAACCCCAGCAGUAUGUCUUACACACUUAUUGAUUGCCAAACAUCAAAUUCUGAGAGAAUAACCUAGUGAACUUUUUUUCCCCCACCUAUCACUAAUCUUUUCUGGGUAGAUUCAGUAAAAACAGUAUUAUUUUUUUCUUCACAUGUAAAAUAUUUAUCUUACAAUAACUGAUAGCUGCAAGCUUGAAAGCCUCACAAGCUUGAGUUAUCUAAUUACUUUCUUGCAAAACAUCACUAAGUUUCUGUUCCAUCAGCAUAUAUUGAUACACCAUGGCUGAUAACACCCACAAGCCUGCAGAGCAUACUCCGCUGUAUAACCUUAAUGCUGCAAAUCAUUAUAAAAUUCCUUUGUUUGCUAUGUAAAAAGCUGCAAAUAUCAAACUUUUUGACUUAGCAUAGAGAGAAGACAGGAUGGAGUACUGCUGUUAUCCAAAACCACAAAU